CCGCCCGUCACAUCAUGAAAGCCGUUUGUACCCGAAGUCACUGUGCUAACCGCAAGGGAGCAGGUGCCGAAGGUAUGGAUGGUGAUUGGGAUGAAGUCGUAACAAGGUACCC
rnacentral:rRNA from 1 species